GACGAACGCUGGCGGCGUGCUUAACACAUGCAAGUCGAACGGAAAGGCCCUGCUUGCUGGGUCCUCGAGUGGCGAACGGGUGAGUAACACGUGGGUGAUCUGCCCUGCACUUCGGGAUAAGCCUGGGAAACUGGGUCUAAUACCGGAUAGGAGCCAUUUUUAGCGUGAUGGUUGGAAAGUUUUUUCGGUGUAGGAUGAGCUCGCGGCCUAUCAGCUUGUUGGUGGGGUAAUGGCCUACCAAGGCGGCGACGGGUAGCCGGCCUGAGAGGGUGGACGGCCACAUUGGGACUGAGGUACGGCCCAGACGCCAACGGGAGGCAGCAGUGGGGAGUAUUGCACAAUGGGCGCAAGCCUGAUGCAGCGACGCCGCGUGGGGGAUGACGGCCUUCGGGUUGUAAACUCCUUUCGCUAGGGACGAAGCUUUUGUGACGGUACCUAGAUAAGAAGCACCGGCUAACUACGUG
rnacentral:rRNA from 1 species